AUACAGUCAAGCAGGGUCACUAGGGCUGCUCAGGGAGAGAGAGCCCAGGAACCUGGCAUGCCAGCAAAAGGAGACCAUCAAGCUUCACAUCAUCAUGCAACAAAGGUUCCAGCCAGUUCCAGGUGAAGACACCACCCCUGGCCAUCAAGAAGCUACCUUGCCUUCACCAGACAGAGCAGGAAUUUUUGAGUUGGGUGGAAGUAGUGACUAUAUGAAGCAACUACCACUGAAGGACCAGAAAAGAAUAACGACAAUAUUAAAGAAAACAGCCAUCUUGGAGUCCAGUUAUAUUUUAAUAAAAGUGGCUAUAGCUGAUUUCCACUGUUCUUCAGUUAGUUUCCUGGCUGCUCACAAAGAUUUUCCUGCAUGCCACUGCUCUCCAGGAAUCUACCAACAUUCACGUAGACUUCUCAAUGAAUGGCACGGAAAGUUUCUUCUUAAGAAUAUGAAGACUGCACACAAAAGCAACUAGAGAAUAGACUACUGACAAUUCAAGGUAUCUGAACAUCAAUUUGUCUUGGAGGUUUUGCACACGUCAAACUCAGCUCUUACUGAACAGGUCAAUGAUACCAGUAUCACUGAGUGUCCAGUGGACUCUCACUGCAUUAUUUUAAUUCUAAAGUUUAUUUUAAACUUUACUGGGGUAUAACUGAAAUGCAAUAAACUACACAUACUUAAGGGCCAUAAUUUGUUGAGUUUUGACAUACUUAUACACUCUGAUAUGGUUUGGUUCUAUGUCCCCACACAAAUCUCAUCUCUCAUCUUGAAUUGUAAUCCCUACCUGUCAAAGGGGAGAAGUGAUUGGAUUAUGGGGGUGGUUUCCCCCAUGCUAUUCUCCUGAUAGUGAGAUCUGAUGGUUUUAUAAGCUUCUGGCAUUUUCUCUGCUUGCACUCACUUUCUCCUGUUGCCUUGUGAAGAAGGUGCCUGCUUCCCCUUUCACCUUCCACCAUGACUGUAAGUUUUCUGAGGCCUCCCCAGUAAUGCAGAACUAUGAGUCAAUUAAACUUCUUUCCUUUAUAAAUUACCCAGCCUCAGGUAGUGUUCUUUAUAGCAGUGUGACAAUGGACUAAUACAAACUCAUAAAACCAUUACUGCAAUCAGCACCAAAGGUUUUCAUACCCUCAUUUGUAAGCACUCCUGACCUGUCUUUUUCCACACCAGUUCCAGGACAAAUGGUGAUUUGUUUUCUGUGGCUAUAAAUUGGUUUACAUUUUGUAGAAUUUUAUAUAAAUGGGAUGACACAGUACAUUUUAAUUUUUGCUCUAGUUUGUAUCACUUAAUAAUAAUAAUUUCAACUUUCAUCCAUGUUGUUAAAUAUAUGAGUAGUUUAUACUUUUCUAUUGAAAAGUAUUAUUCCAUUUUAUGGAUAUACCAAAGUUUGCUUGCCCAUUCACUUGCUGGUGGACAUAUGGGUUGUUUCCAGUUUGGGGUUCUUAAAAGUAAAGCAUCUGUGAACAUGCAAAUACAGUCUUUGUGUGGACAUAUGUUAUUGUUUCUUUUCUGCUUCUAUUCUGUUUUCUAGAAGCAGAAUAGAUUGUAUGGUAGGUUUAUAUUUAUUUUCCUAAGAAACUGCCAAACUCUCUUUCAAACUGAUUGUACCAUUUUACAGUCCUACCAAUUCCAGUUUUAUUUCCUCCAUAUCUUUACCAACACCUGGAAUGGUGUUGUUUUAUUUUAGUCAUUCUAAAGAAGUAGUGUCUCAUUAUGAUUUUAUCUCAC
rnacentral:lncRNA from 10 species